rnacentral:ncRNA from 1 species
GGCAGGCCUAACACAUGCAAGUCGAACGCAUCCUUCGGGAUGAGUGGCGCACGGGUGAGUAACACGUGGGAACGUACCUUGGGAGUACGGGAAUAAGUCCCUUGGAAACGAGGGACUAAUACCCGGUAUACGCCCUUCGGGGAAGGAAGUUCGCUCCAAGAUCGGCCCGCGUCCGAUUAGCUAGUUGGCGGGGUAACCUCCGUGCCGGCGCCGUCGCUCAACCCGGCUUUGGUGAGCGCCCCCGCUCCGACCUCGACCCCGGCGGCGACGGGGAUGCCGAGUGCCACGCC